rnacentral:lncRNA from 1 species
CACACCAUGGUCCAUGGUUUUACAGGCUCUCUCUCUCCACCACCACUUCCUGCCUCCAACGCUGCUCUGCUCCAUCUGCUCGCAGGGCCUCGAUCCAUCUGAGCACUGGCGAGCUCGAUCCCUGCAACAUGGGUUUAUUUUAGGCUGCGAGCAACUACAUGCAUGUGUACGGUAUCUGAUCUAGGCAGUGAGGAAUUCAAUCCCCAUGGUAAGGCUUCGAUUCGGG